UACGUAGGGGGCAAGCGUUGUCCGGAAUCAUUGGGCGUAAAGAGCGUGUAGGCGGCCUGAUAAGUCGGUUGUGAAAGUCAAGGGCUCAACCCUUGAAUGCCGACCGAUACUGUCAGGCUAGAGUCCGGAAGAGGCGAGUGGAAUUCCUGGUGUAGCGGUGAAAUGACGCAGAUAUCAGGAGGAACACCUAUGGCGAAGGCAGCUCGCUGGGACGGUACUGACGCUGAGACGCGAAAGCGUGGGGAGCGAACAGG
rnacentral:rRNA from 1 species